GAUUCUCUGCGUGUUUCUGCGUCCCUGAAAGCCGGUUCUCUGGACUUGCUGGGCACCAGGGUUUAGUCAACAUGGGUCGCUCGGGGAAGUUGCCCUCGGGUGUCUCGGCUAAGUUGAAGCGCUGGAAGAAAGGCCACAGCAGCGACAGCAACCCCGCCAUCUGCCGCCACCGCCAGGCCGCCCGCAGCCGCUUCUUCAGCCGGCCCUCAGGAAGGAGCGACCUGACAGUUGAUGCCGUGAAGCUGCACAAUGAACUGCAGUCAGGGUCCCUGCGCUUGGGCAAAAGCGAAGCCCCUGAGACGGCCAUGGAGGAAGAUGGGGAGCUGGCCCUUACCCAGAAGUCCUCGAGCACCUUCCUGAGUGGCCUCUCUGACUGCACAAACGUCACCUUCAGCAAAGUGCAGCGCUUUUGGGAGUCCAACUCGGCUGCCCACAAGGAGAUCUGCGCAGUUCUGGCUGCUGUCACUGAGGUGAUUCGCUCCCAGGGAGGGAAGGAGACGGAGACUGAGUACUUUGCUACUCUGAUGACAACAAUGGAGGCAGUGGAGUCCCCGGAGUCGCUGGCUGCUGUUGCUUACCUACUGAACCUUGUCCUGAAGCGCGUGCCCAGCCCUGUGCUUAUCAAGAAGUUCUCUGAUACCUCCAAAGCCUUCAUGGACAUCAUGUCUGCCCAGGCCAGCAGUGGCUCCACCUCUGCCCUCCGAUGGGUCCUCUCCUGCCUGGCCACCCUUCUGCGAAAGCAAGACUUAGAAGCCUGGGGCUACCCUGUGACCCUUCAGGUGUACCAUGGGCUUCUGAGCUUCACUGUGCAUGCCAAACCCAAGAUCCGGAAGGCUGCUCAGCAUGGAGUGUGCUCAGUUCUUAAGGGCAGUGAAUUCAUGUUUGGUGAAAAAGCCCCUGCCCACCAUCCUGCUGCUAUCUCCACUGCCAAGUUCUGCAUCCAGGAGAUUGAGAAGUCUGGAGGCUCCAAGGAGGCUACCACUACUCUGCACAUGUUGACACUGCUGAAGGAUGUGCUACCUUGCUUCCCAGAAGGCCUGGUGAAGAACUGUAGUGAGACUCUCCUCCGGGUCAUGACCUUGAGUCACGUGCUGGUGACUGCCUGUGCCAUGCAGGCCUUCCACAGCCUGUUCCAUGCCAAGCCUACUCUGGGCACCCUGUCUGCAGAGCUCAACGCACAAAUCAUCACGGCCUUGUAUGACUACGUCCCAAGUGAGAAUGACUUGCAACCCCUGCUGGCCUGGCUUAAGGUCUUGGAGAAAGCCCAUAUCAACCUGGUCAGGUUGCAGCGGGACCUGGGGCUGGGCCACCUCCCUCGCUUUUUUGGAACUGCGAUGACCUGUCUUCUGUCCCCACACUCACAGGUGGUGACAGCUGCCACCCAGAGCCUCAAGGAGCUCCUAAAGGAAUGUGUGGCUCCACACAUGACUGACAUCGGCUCUGUGACCUCCUCGGCCUCAGGUCCUGCCCAGUAUAUUGCCAAGAUGUUUAGGGCAGUGGAGGAGGGCUUGACAUACAAAUUCCAUGCGGCCUGGAGCUCCGUGUUGCAGCUGCUGUGUGUCUUCUUUGAAGCAUGUGGGAGGCAGGCUCAUCCUGUGAUGAAGAAGUGCCUCCAGUCCCUGUGUGACCUGCGCCUCUCCCCUCACUUCCCUCACACAGCAGCCCUAGAUCAGGCGGUGGGGGCUGCAGUGACCAGCAUGGGACCUGAGGUGGUGUUACAGGCGGUGCCUCUGGAAAUUGAUGGCUCUGAAGAGACUCUGGAUUUCCCACGGAGCUGGCUGCUGCCCGUCAUCCGGGACCAUGUCCGGGAAACACGCCUUGGAUUCUUCACUACGUAUUUCUUGCCCCUAGCCACCACUCUGAAGAGCAAAGCAAUGGAACUGGCCCAGGCAGGCAGCACUGUGGAGUCCAAGAUCUAUGACACACUCCAGUGGCAGAUCUGGACUCUGCUGCCUGGAUUUUGCACAAGGCCCACAGACGUGGCUGCCUCCUUCAAAGGUCUGGCUCGGACACUGGGCACGGCCAUCAGUGAGCGCCCAGACCUGAGAGUCACUGUGUGCCAGGCCCUGCGCACCCUCAUCACUAAGGGCUGUGAGGCAGAGGCUGACCGUGCUGAAGUGAGCCGUUUUGCCAAGAACUUUCUGCCAAUCCUCUUCAACCUGUAUGGGCAGCCUGUUGCAGCUGAGGACACUCCAGCCCCUCGCCGGUCUGUGCUGGAAACCAUCAAAACCUACCUCACCAUAACUGAGUCUCAGUUGGUGAAUGGUUUCCUGGAGAAAGCCAGUGAGAAGGUGCUUGACCCUGCCAGCUCCGACUUCACCAGAUUGUCUGUCCUGGACCUGGUUGUGGCCUUGGCCCCUCAUGCUGAUGAAGCUGCCAUCAGCAAGCUGUACUCCACCAUCCGACCCUACCUGGAGAGCAAGGCCCAUGGGGUUCAGAAGAAGGCCUACCGUGUACUGGAGGAGGUCUGUGCCAGCCCCCAGGGACCCGGGGCCCGCUUUGUGCAGACCCACCUGGACGAGCUGAAGAAAACCCUGCUGGACUCACUGCGGAGCACGUCCUCUCCCGCCAAGAGGCCCCGUUUGAAGUGCCUCAUACAUAUUGUGAAGAAGCUGUCAUCUGAGCACGAGGAGUUCAUUGCUGCCCUUGUCCCGGAGGUGAUCCUGUGCACCAAGGAGGUGUCAGUGGGUGCACGGAAGAAUGCUUUCGCCCUGCUGGUGGAGAUGGGCCACGCUUUCCUGCGGUUUGGCUCCAACCAGGAAGAGGCCCUACAGCGCUACCUCAUCCUGAUCUACCCAGGCCUUGUGGGCCCGGUGACCAUGGUUAGCUGCAGCAUCCUGGCCCUGACCCACCUCCUUUUCGAGUUUAAAGGAAUGAUGGGGACCAGCACCGUGGAGCAGCUGCUGGAGAAUGUGUGCCUGCUGCUGGCCUCCCGCACCCGCGACGUGGUCAAGUCUGCACUGGGCUUCAUCAAGGUGGCUGUGGUGGUCAUGGACGUGGUGCAUCUGGCCAAGCAUGUGCAGCUGGUGAUGGAAGCCAUUGGGAAACUUUCAGAUGACAUGCGCCGGCACUUCCGCAUGAAGCUUCGGAACCUGUUCACCAAAUUCAUCCGCAAAUUUGGAUUUGAGUUGGUGAAGGGGCUGCUGCCUGAGGAGUACCACAAAGUCCUGGUAAACAUCCGGAAAGCUGAGACCCGAGCCAAGAGGCACCGUGCCCUAAACCAGGCUGCUGAGGAGGAGGAAGAAGAGAAGGAGGAGUCUGCCCAGGGUAAAGGUGACAGCAUUGAGGAGAUUUUGGCUGACUCAGAAGAUGAAGAGGACAAUGAGGAGGAGGAAAGAGGCCGCAGCAAAGAGCAGCGGAAGCUGGCACGACAGAGGAGCCAGGCAUGGCUGAAGGAGGGUGGAGGGGAUGAGCCCCUUAACUUCCUGGAUCCCAAGGUGGCCCAGCGAGUCCUUGCCACACAGCCUGGGCCUGGCCGAAGCAAGAAGAAGGACCAUGGCUUCAAGGUGAGCGCUGAUGGCCGACUGAUUAUACGGGAGGAGGAAGGCGGUGACAAGGUGGAAGAAGAGGACACCACUAAAGGUGAGGAUGAAGAGAUGGCUGACCUGAUGGAGGACGUGGGCGUCAGAAGUAAGAAGAAGCGUAAGCAGCAGAAAGAGGCUGAGGAAGAGGAGCUAGAGAUGCCCCCUCAGUACCAAGCUGGAGGCUCUGGCAUCCAUCGUCCCAUGGGCAAGAAAGCCACUCCUGGGGCUGAAUACAAGUCCAAGCUAACUCUGUUUCUCUGGAUGAGCAGAAGGCAAAGGGCGAUGUGAAGAAGAAAGGUCGGCUCGAUCCCUAUGCCUACAUCCCCCUCAACAGAACAAAGCUCAACCGCAGGAAGAAGGUGAAGCUACAGGGGCAGUUUAAAGGUCUGGUGAAAGCUGCCCAGAGGGGGUCCCAGUUGGGACAUAAACUCUGCAGAAAGGAUCGCAGACCCUGAAGCCCCAGUGCCCCUGGGCUGCUUUUUGGUCUAUCUUGAGGCCCCCUCUUCAGAUCCUAAGCUGGUUGACAUCAGCUCCAUGCCUGGACUCAGAAUGACUUUUUGGAACCAGGGCUUAGCUCCCAGAAGUACCCAGGAUUUUGGAAGCACCAAAUGGAAACUGCCUUUUGGAGACAUCCCCAGUUCCUGGGGAUGGGACUAUGGCCUCACUGCCUCUGAGUAGGCCCUGUAAAGCAGUCUUUCUGCCAGAGUGACCAUGAGCUGCCAAGCUGGAUCUUUUCCUCCAGAGCCACAUGGCACUCAGCCUGGCCACGGUCUGCCUGUGUGAGAUCUGCUGUGACUAGGUGCAGAAUAAAUGUGCAUCACUGUG